rnacentral:rRNA from 1 species
AGAGUUUGAUCCUGGCUCACGAUGAACGCUAGCUACAGGCUUAACACAUGCAAGUCGAGGGGCAGCAUGACGAUAGCUUGCUAUUGUUGAUGGCGACCGGCGCACGGGUGAGUAACGCGUAUCCAACCUUCCCGUUGCUAGGGGAUAACCUUGCGAAAGUAAGACUAAUACCCUAUGAUGUUCUUCGCAGACAUCUAAAGAGAACGAAAGAUUUAUCGGCAACGGAUGGGGAUGCGUCUGAUUAGGUUGUUGGCGGGGUAACGGCCCACCAAGCCCACGAUCAGUAGGGGUUCUGAGAGGAAGGUCCCCCACAUUGGAACUGAGACACGGUCCAAACUCCUACGGGAGGCAGCAGUGAGGAAUAUUGGUCAAUGGACGGAAGUCUGAACCAGCCAAGUAGCGUGCAGGAUGACGGCCCUAUGGGUUGUAAACUGCUUUUAUGUGGGAAUAAAGUGAGGGACGUGUCCCUUUUUGUAGGUACCACAUGAAUAAGGACCGGCUAAUUCCGUGCCAGCAGCCGCGGUAAUACGGAAGGUCCGGGCGUNAUCCGGAUUUAUUGGGUUUAAAGGGAGCGUAGGCCGUCUUUUAAGCGUGUCGUGAAAUACUGUCGCUCAACGACAGAGGUGCUUCGCGAACUGGGAGACUUGAGUGCGCGGAAUGCAGGCGGAAUCCGUCGUGUAGCGGUGGAAUGCUUAGAUAUGACGAAGAACUCCGAUUGCGAAGGCAGCUUGCAGUAGCGUACAUGGACGCGAAAGCUCGAAAGUGCGGUUAUCGAACAGGAUUAGAUACCCUGGUAGUCCGGCACGGUAAACGAUGGAUGCUCGCUGUGUGCCUUUGGGUACGCGGCCAAGCGAAAGCGUUAAGCAUCCCACCUGGGGAGUACGCCGGCAACGGUGAAACUCAAAGGAAUUGACGGGGGCCCGCACAAGCGGAGGAACAUGUGGUUUAAUUCGAUGAUACGCGAGGAACCUUACCCGGGCUUGAAUUGCAGGAGAACGAUACAGAGAUGUUGAGGUCCUUCGGGACUCCUGUGAAGGUGCUGCAUGGUUGUCGUCAGCUCGUGCCGUGAGGUGUCGGCUUAAGUGCCAUAACGAGCGCAACCCCUCUCCGUAGUUGCCAUCAGGUGAUGCUGGGCACUCUGCGGACACUGCCGCCGUAAGGUGUGAGGAAGGUGGGGAUGACGUCAAAUCAGCACGGCUCUUACGUCCGGGGCUACACACGUGUUACAAUGGGUCAUACAGAGUGUUGUGCGUAUGCAAAUACGUACUAAUCAUUAAAAUGAUCCUCAGUUCGGAUUGGGGUCUGCAACCCGACCCCAUGAAGCUGGAUUCGCUAGUAACCGCGCAUCAGCCAUGGCGCGGUGAAUACGUUCNCCGGGCCUUGUACACACCGCCCGUC